UGAUCUCAGCGCCCAAGCCGGUGCCUUUGCUGUAGCCGGUGGAGAGCUCGUUGGCACCGCCCCCGUAGCGAUCAUAGUAAGCAGAUUGGAAGGCUUUGACGAGACCCACACCGCAAAUGGCUCCAAGACACUGAGCCACCAUGUACAAUAUUGCUCGGAUCAGCGACACCUUCCGGGCCAGGAACAGCCCAAAGGUCACCGCCGGGUUAAUGUGUCCCCCUGCGCAUUUUACAGAACUAUCGGUCAGCAUGUGCUACCUUGCGCCAUGCCAUUUACAUUAAGAUGAAUCUUUUGAUUUAAGGAAAAACCAUGAGAAAGGGGAAAGAGUAAAUCAAUUUCAUCUCAUUUAUUCUAAAUUUUUAGCAUGAAAAGAAUCAAAACUUUCUGGGUGGGAAGGAAAUUACAUAAAGCUGAUUGAAAAAGUAGUUUUUUUAAGAGAAGGUUCUCCAUCACGAUCGGAGAAAGAGACCCAUACCAUCUGUUUGGUGAGAAGGAAAACUAGAAAAAGGAUAACAGAAGUAAAAAAUUUAUGCUUAUUUUUCGGUUUGGGGCCCAAAGGAAGGGGUAAGGCAACUCCGGCCAAUAGUUGAGUUGAAGCUUUUUACACUUUAGGAAACAAAGCCAACACUAUUUUCCAAUUAUUUCUCAGAAACCAAACGUCAACUCCAUCAACUACCUCCUUCAAGUGAACCUUUCCAGCAGAAUUAUUUAUCAAGGGAAAAAAAGGACCAAAAAGAAAGAAAGGAAAGAAAGGAAAAAAAGCUAUGAAGUUCUAACAGAUCCUUUCUUUCUUUCCCUUUUUUUUUUAACUUCACAAAGAAAUGGUCAUAACAAUAAAUGAAUCCUUGAAAGAGAAAGACAAAGAGGGAAAAAGAGAGAAAGAAAACCAGUUUUCUAACUGAUGUUUUCAGGGUUUUUUUUUCUUUUCUUUUUUUUUUUUUUGUUCUCGAGAAUCAAAAAGAGUGCAUGAAAACAAAAGAAAAAAGAACAACCCAGAAGAGAGAAAACUGACCAGAAAUGCCGGCAGUGCAGUAAACAAGGAUAAAGAUCAUGCCACCAAAAGACCAAGCAAUGCCCAGAAUGCCAACACCACCGCAUGGGUCACCCCCGGCAGUCUGGCUCUUGUAGCCGAUGACUGUCAGCACCGUAAUGUAAAGGAAGAGCAGCGUGGCAAUGAACUCCGCAAUCAGAGCCCUGUAGAAGGACCACUUAGUGAGCUCAACUGAGUCGAACAGCGGCGCCGGCGGCGGGUCAUGAUAGUCCUUGGCGGAGAAGGACCCAUGCUCCGCAACCUCAACGUCCUUAGUCAUAAAUGUUAUAGCAGAAAAACACUAGGCAAAGAGAAGAGCUAGGGGGGUUCAGGAGAAGGUAGGUGAAGGUGGGAGAAGUUGAGAGUAGAGCGUGGAGACUGAGAGGAAGGGAAGGGCCGUAUUUAUGGGGAAGAAAGAGGAGUGUUGAGGUGGAAUUGGGCUGGGCUGCCUUCUUGUUCACUGUAACCCCUCUGCAAUGGUAA
rnacentral:lncRNA from 1 species